AGUUUGAUCCUGGCUCAGAUUGAACGCUGGCGGCAUGCCUUACACAUGCAAGUCGAACGGCAGCACGGGUGCUUGCACCUGGUGGCGAGUGGCGAACGGGUGAGUAAUACAUCGGAACAUGUCCUGUAGUGGGGGAUAGCCCGGCGAAAGCCGGAUUAAUACCGCAUACGAUCCAUGGAUGAAAGCGGGGGACCUUCGGGCCUCGCGCUAUAGGGUUGGCCGAUGGCUGAUUAGCUAGUUGGUGGGGUAAAGGCCUACCAAGGCGACGAUCAGUAGCUGGUCUGAGAGGACGACCAGCCACACUGGGACUGAGACACGGCCCAGACUCCUACGGGAGGCAGCAGUGGGGAAUUUUGGACAAUGGGCGAAAGCCUGAUCCAGCAAUGCCGCGUGUGUGAAGAAGGCCUUCGGGUUGUAAAGCACUUUUGUCCGGAAAGAAAUCCUUGGCUCUAAUACAGUCGGGGGAUGACGGUACCGGAAGAAUAAGCACCGGCUAACUACGUGCCAGCAGCCGCGGUAAUACGUAGGGUGCAAGCGUUAAUCGGAAUUACUGGGCGUAAAGCGUGCGCAGGCGGUUUGCUAAGACCGAUGUGAAAUCCCCGGGCUCAACCUGGGAACUGCAUUGGUGACUGGCAGGCUAGAGUAUGGCAGAGGGGGGUAGAAUUCCACGUGUAGCAGUGAAAUGCGUAGAGAUGUGGAGGAAUACCGAUGGCGAAGGCAGCCCCCUGGGCCAAUACUGACGCUCAUGCACGAAAGCGUGGGGAGCCAAACAGGAUUAGAUACCCCUGGUAGUCCACGCCCCUAAACGGAUGUCAACUUAGUUGUUGGGGAUUCAUUUUCCUUAGUAACGGUAGCUAAACGCCGGUGAAAGUUGACCGCCUGGGGGGGAGUACCGGGUCGCAAGAAUUAAAAAUCUCAAAAGGGAAUUUGGGGACGGGGAAACCCCCGCACAAGCGGUGGAUGAUGUGGAUUAAUUCGANUGCACGCGAAAAACCUUACCUACCCUUGACAUGGUCGGAAUCCUGCUGAGAGGCGGGAGUGCUCGAAAGAGAACCGGCGCACAGGUGCUGCAUGGCUGUCGUCAGCUCGUGUCGUGAGAUGUUGGGUUAAUCCCGCAACGAGCGCAACCCUGUCCUUU
rnacentral:rRNA from 1 species